rnacentral:lncRNA from 1 species
GAUCAUUGCCCUGCAAUUUCACUGCUCAAUUCACUGUCAUUUAGGAGUUAAAUCACUUUGUUUCUGUUUAUGCAGCCCCAGCCACACCUCCCCUGGCUAUGAUUGACAGAACCUGCAUGAAAAAAAAAAAACUGGUUUCACUUUCAAACAGAUGUAAUUUACCUUAAAUAAUUGUAUCUCAAUCUCUAAAUUGAACUUUAAUCACAUACAGGAGGCUCUUGCAGGGUCUAGCAAG